rnacentral:rRNA from 1 species
AGAGCGAGCGCUGGCGGCAGGCCUAACACAUGCAAGUCGAGCGCCCGUAGCAAUACGGGAGCGGCAGACGGGAUAGUAACACGUGGGAACGCGCCCUUCGGUUCGGAAUAACUCAGGGAAACUUGAGCUAAUACCGAAUACGCCCUUACGGGGAAAGAUUUAUUGCCGAAGGAACGGCCCGCGUCCGAUUAGCUAGUUGGUGAGGUAAUGGCUCACCAAGGCUACGAUCGGUAGCUGGUCUGAGAGGAUGACCAGCAUCACUGGGACUGAGACACGGCCCAGACUCCUACGGGAGGCAGCAGUGGGGAAUAUUGGACAAUGGGCGCAAGCCUGAUCCAGCCAUGCCGCGUGGAUGAUGAAGGCCUUAGGGUUGUAAAGUCCUUUUAACGGGGAAGAUAAUGACGGUACCCGUAGAAUAAGCCCGGCUAACUUCGUGCCAGCAGCCGC